rnacentral:rRNA from 1 species
UCCCAGACUCCUACGGGAGGCAGCAGUGAGGAAUAUUGGUCAAUGGGCGGGAGCCUGAACCAGCCAUGCCGCGUGAAGGCGAGUGCCCUACGGGCGUUAAACUUCUUUUGUGCGGGAGCAAUAAGGGCCACGCGUGGCCCGAUGAGAGUACCGCACGAAUAAGCAUCGGCUAACUCCGUGCCAGCAGCCGCGGUAAUACGGGGGAUGCGAGCGUUAUCCGGAUUUAUUGGGUUUAAAGGGAGCGUAGGUGGAUUGUUAAGUCAGUUGUGAAAGUUUGCGGCUCAACCGUAAAAUUGCAGUUGAAACUGGCAGUCUUGAGUACAGUAGAGGUGGGCGGAAUUCGUGGUGUAGCGGUGAAAUGCUUAGAUAUCACGAAGAACUCCGAUUGCGAAGGCAGCAUACCGGCGCCCGACUGACGCUGAGGCACGAAAGCGUGGGUAUCGAACAGGAUUAGAUACCCGCGUA